rnacentral:rRNA from 1 species
ACGGGUGAGUAAUGCAUAGGAAUCUGCCCGGUAGUGGGGGAUAACUUGAGGAAACUCAAGCUAAUACCGCAUACGCCCCAAGGGGGAAAGCAGGGGAUCUUCGGACCUUGCGCUAUCGGAUGAGCCUAUGUCGGAUUAGCUAGUUGGUGAGGUAAUGGCUCACCAAGGCCGCGAUCCGUAGCUGGUCUGAGAGGAUGAUCAGCCACAUCGGGACUGAGACACGGCCCGAACUCCUACGGGAGGCAGCAGUGGGGAAUAUUGGACAAUGGGCGAAAGCCUGAUCCAGCCAUGCCGCGUGUGUGAAGAAGGCCUUCGGGUUGUAAAGCACUUUCAGCGAGGAAGAACGCUUGUGGGUUAAUACCCCGCAAGAAGGACAUCACUCGCAGAAGAAGCACCGGCUAACUCCGUGCCAGCAGCCGCGGUAAUACGGAGGGUGCAAGCGUUAAUCGGAAUUACUGGGCGUAAAGCGCGCGUAGGCGGCUUGAUAAGCCGGUUGUGAAAGCCCCGGGCUCAACCUGGGAACGGCAUCCGGAACUGUCAGGCUAGAGUGCAGGAGAGGAAGGUAGAAUUCCCGGUGUAGCGGUGAAAUGCGUAGAGAUCGGGAGGAAUACCAGUGGCGAAGGCGGCCUUCUGGACUGACACUGACGCUGAGGUGCGAAAGCGUGGGUAGCAAACAGGAUUAGAUACCCUGGUAGUCCACGCCGUAAACGAA